ACGGAGGGUGCGAGCGUUAAUCGGAAUUACUGGGCGUAAAGCGCACGUAGGCUGUAUGUCAAGUCAAGGGUGAAAUCCCACGGCUCAACCGUGGAACUGCCUUUGAAACUGGCAAACUGGAGUAUGUGAGAGGGUGGCGGAAUUCCUGGUGUAGGAGUGAAAUCCGUAGAUAUCAGGAGGAACAUCAGUGGCGAAGGCGGCCGCCUGGCACAAAACUGACGCUGAGGUGCGAAAGCGUGGGUAGCAAACAG
rnacentral:rRNA from 1 species